rnacentral:tRNA from 1 species
GGGGAUGUAGGUCAGUGGUAGAGUGCAUGUUUUGCAUGUAUGAGGCCCUGGAUUCAAUCCCCGGCAUCUCUG